rnacentral:rRNA from 1 species
GAGCGGCGGACGGCUGAGUAACACGUAGGAAUGUACCCCAAAGUGAGGCAUAAGCACCGGAAACGGUGUCUAAUACCGCAUGUGCUCUAAGGAGUAAAGCUUUCGAGCGCUUUGGGAACGGCCUGCGCAUGAUUAGCUAGUUGGUGAGGUAAUAGCUCACCAAGGCGACGAUCAUUAGCUGGUCUGAGAGGAUGAUCAGCCAGACUGGGACUGAGACACGGCCCAGACUCCUACGGGAGGCAGCAGUAGGGAAUUUUCCACAAUGGGCGAAAGCCUGAUGGAGCAACGCCGCGUGCAGGAUGAACCCCUUCGGGGCGUAAACUGCUUUUAUAGGUGAAGAUUAUGACGGUAACUUAUGAAUAAGGAUCGGCUAACUCCGUGCCAGCAGCCGCGGUCAUACGGAGGAUCCAAGCGUUAUCCGGAAUUACUGGGCGUAAAGAGUUGCGUAGGCGGUUAAGUAAGUAAUGUGUGAAACUGUGUGGCUCAACCAUGCAUCCAUACGUUAAACUACUUUGACUAGAGAAUGGAAGAGGUCGCUAGAAUUCCUGGUGUAGGGGUGAAAUCCGUAGAUAUCAGGAGGAAUACCGAUGGCGUAGGCAGGCGACUGGUCCAUUUCUGACGCUGAGGCACGAAAGCGUGGGGAGCGAUCGGGAUUAGAUACCCCGGUAGUCCACGCCGUAAACGAUGGAUGCUAGCUGUGUGGAGUAUCGACCCUCUGCGUAGCGAAGCUAACGCGUUAAGCAUCCCGCCUGUGGAGUACGAGCGCAAGCUUAAAACAUAAAGGAAUUGACGGGGACCCGCACAAGCGGUGGAGCGUGUUGUUUAAUUCGAUGGUAAGCGAAGAACCUUACCCAGGUUUGACAUCCUACUAAUUCUUCCGAAAGGAAGAAGUGCCUUCGGGCCGUAGUGACAGGUGAUGCAUGGCCGUCGUCAGCUCGUGUCGUGAGAUGUUUGGUUAAGUCCAUCAACGAGCGCAACCCUUAUAGUUAGUUGGAUUUUUCUAGCUAGACUGCCUCGGUAACGGGGAGGAAGGAGGGGAUGACGUCAGGUCAGUAUUUCCCUUACAUCUGGGGCUACAAACACGCUACAAUGGCCGGUACAAAGGGCUGCCAACCCGCGAGGGGGAGCAAAUCCCAUCAAAGCCGGUCUCAGUUCGGAUAGCAGGCUGAAACUCGCCUGCUUGAAGCUGGAAUCGCUAGUAACGGUAGGUCAGCACACUACCGUGAAUACGUUCCCGGGUCUUGCA